rnacentral:rRNA from 1 species
GAUGAACGCUGGCGGCGUGCCUAAUACAUGCAAGUCGAGCGAACAGACGAGGAGCUUUCUCCUCUGACGUUAGCGGCGGACGGGAGAGUAACACGUGGAUAACCUACCUAUAAGAAUGGGAUAACUUUGGGAAACCGGAGCUAAUACCGGAUAAUAUAUUGAACCGCAUUGUUCAAUAGUGAAAGUCGGUUUUGCUGUCACUUAUAGAUGGAUCCGCGGCGCAUUAGCUAGUUGGUGAGGUAAUGGCUUACCAAGGCUACGAUGCGUAGCCGACCUGAGAGGGAGGUCGGCCACACGGUAACUGAGACACGGUCCAGACUCCUACGGUAGGCAGCAGUAGGGAAUCUUCCGCAAUGGGGGAGAGCUUGACGGAGCAACGCCGCGUGAGUGAUGAAGGUCUUCUGCUCGUAAAACUCUGUUAUUAGGGAGGAACAAAUGUGUAAGUAACUGUGAACGUCUUGACGGUACCGAAUCAGAAAGCCACGGCUAACUACGUG